UCUGAACAACACUUUCAUGCAUGCUUCCAGCAAAUCAUUCAUAAUAAGACUUCUCGCAAUUUUUGUUGUUGGCCUUGUUCAUUUUAUUGUAGCGGAUUCGACAAUGUAAAUCCCCAAAUCUGGAAAUUAUGUGUUCAUUUGUAAAAGCGAUAAUGACAACUUUUCUGUGUACGAUCCAUUUUCAAUGGAUGUGUCGGAUCCUUUUCAAUUUUUUCAUUCCUAAAUAUUCGAAGAUACAACAAAACAUUCGACGACUCUUGCAAGAAAUACAACGGCCUUAGCAAAUACACAGAUCGAUUGGAAGAAAACCCCUGAUGCUCAUGUUUUCAAAACCGAUAUUCCUGGCAUUUAUUAAAGUUUUAUUUUUCAAUAACAAUUUUGUAGAAAUUUUUUGUUUGUUUCAAAAGAUAUUAAAAUGUAAUAUUAUUGCUUUGUUGCAUGGCCAUAUUCAUAAAAUAAGUGGAGGAUGUAGCAAAGAAGUGGAGCAGAAAAAUGAGAGAUAUCGCCGUAUUGAAUGCUCGCAACAUAGGUUCUUGAGGGAGGAGUGCCUUGCUGAAGGUUAUUUUAAAUGCAAUGCACUUCAAAUUUUUGUAAAAAAUAUUAGAGUUUUAACUUGUAUUAGUUUCUGUUUUUUCAAAAAAAAAUGGAACAGAUAUUAAGGGUUUUAAUCUUCAACAGAAUUCACUUAUAUUCAACCAGUCUUUGUCUUUCAAAAUUUUAGAAGAAAGAUUAGGGCUUUCACUUAUUUUUCAUCUAGGUUUUGUCCUUCAAAAUUUUGAAAGAAAGUUUAGGUAUUUAACUUGUGAUACGAGUUUUUGUCUCGCAAAUUUCUAAAGAAAGAUAGGAAAUCACAUCUGGGUGUUGUACUGUAGGUCUAGGAAAUGUUUAAUAUUGUGUGCCUCUAAAUUUUCAUUUCUAUUUUUCUAUAUGUUCUUUUACAUAGAUCAAUAUGUCUGUAACAUACAAGGAUAUAUAAUAAAAUGAACAUUGUUUGUUUUUAUUUUUUCUGUUAAAUCCAUUGUGAUAAGCUUCAGUAUUUUUUGUUUUAGCAUGAUAAAAAUAGACAAGUGACAAAGAAUAAAGGUUACCCGGAGCCUCCAGUGCGCUCACUGCUUCUUCUCCACGCUUCUCCAACCUUCUCAGCUAUUAGGAUGCAAAUAUUAAAGGUCUUUUCUUGUAUAUUGUAUAUUGACAAUGCCUGAUGUUGGAAUUAUCCUGGCACUUCCAGAAGUUUUUGCUUGCGAUUUUAGUUUUAUUUUAUCCUGGUGCUUCUUCGAGAAGUUUCUGCAGUUCCAGUUUUAUUUAUUUUUAAAUAAUUUGUAUUUACUGUAUUUAAUAAGUGGCGGAAGAUGUGUUGUUCGACAACAAUUUAUUGAGCCGAUAGGCUCUUAGUAUGGGCUUUCUUGCUCGGAAAAUUGUCAGUAUCUCGGUAAAUUUCUACCAGUCACGUUUACCGGUUGCUGGGUAAUGAAAAUCUUGUUGCUUGAUCUACACGAUAAAUUAAGUGGGAUCAUGAAUUCUUUUUGAUUAUUACAUUUAAUAUAUUUAUUUUUAGUUGUGUUGGCAAGAAAACAGCGUGGGAAUGGCAUACGGUGGAGGCAAACGAUAGUUAAUGUGCUUUAAUAGCAUUAACCUUCAUGUUUGAUACUUUCUGCAUUUGACAUAAUAGCAAAGUUAAUGUGUCUACGCCCACAUUUGGGAAUUGUUUUCUGCAAGUGAAUUGUUUGCUUUCCUUGUUUCUGAUAAGAGAAAGCUUAAUAUGGAAGAGUCACAUUGUCGUUUUCAUUUUGAUUUUCGUUUCUGGUUUCUGAUAACAUAGAUUUAUAUAUAUGUAUUUCAUGCUUUAUUCUACUCUUCCUUUAUUCUUUUUUUAACUUCACACUAUAUAAUCCAUGGCAUUGACAUUUGUUAACAGUUAAUUACUUGCUUGCUUUCAUUUGUUUACUUGAUGUAUCAAAGACAUUUUGGAUAUAAUAUUUCAGUUGUGGGUUUAAUGCUUCAUGUUUUCUUUACAACCAAACUGCAUGGACUUCCAACAAGUCAAGAUUUUGCAGAAGGAGCAAUUCAAAUCAUCCGAACAGCUGACACAUGAACCUUUUGAAAGAGAUCAUGCUUCUGUUAUAGGUGGUCAUAAGGUACCGUAAAUGCAAAAUACAACUGCCACUCCUUCAAAUUAUUUUAUUAAUGUCUGCAUUAUAUCCCAGUUUUUCUUAUUAUUUAAUUUCAUGUUCAAUUUUUACUGUGAUAUUCAUAAGCUGUCUACAAUCGUUCCAUUUAAAAAUUAUGAACAAUUUCAAGUUCAAUAUUAUGUGAAAAUACAUUCCUCCAUUUGCUUAUCUUUAAAAUAGAUCGUAUUUUAGUUCUUAACGUUUUGCCUCCACAUGCAAGCAUGAUCCAACUUUCAAUCUUGUAAUAGUGAUCUAGAUGAUAAAUCGCAAGCCCCUAACUGAAUUUUGCCAGAAAGUAUCUGUACAGUAAUUGACUCUCGCCAUUUUUACCAGUUCAAUAAAACUUGCAACAUGACAACAUGCACACCUAAACACACUCCUCGUCUAACGGACUGCAACCAGCUCAACAAUUAGGUAUUUAUCACAUAUCCUAGACUUCAAUGCUUAUUGUUGUGCAUUCAGUCACUCUACCCGAAAUUCAAAUGUUGCCAUGCUUCACAUGCUACAUUUUAGUCAUCAAACCUUGCAAAGAAACUAUUUCACACAGUUUCCAAUUGUAAAUGUGCUUUUUCA